CCUACGGGGGACAGCAGUGGGGAAUAUUGCACAAUGGGGGAAACCCUGAUGCAGCGACGCCGCGUGAGUGAAGAAGUAUUUCGGUACGUAAAGCUCUAUCAGCAGGGAAGAAAAUGACGGUACCUGACUAAGAAGCCCCGGCUAACUACGUGCCAGCAGCCGCGGUAAUACGUAGGGGGCAAGCGUUAUCCGGAUUUACUGGGUGUAAAGGGAGCGUAGACGGCAGCGCAAGUCUGGAGUGAAAUCCCAUGGCUUAACCAUGGAACUGCUUUGGAAACUGUGCAGCUAGAGUGCAGGAGAGGUAAGCGGAAUUCCUAGUGUAGCAGUGAAAUGCGUAGAUAUUAGGAGGAACACCAGUGGCGAAGGCGGCUUACUGGACUGUAACUGACGUUGAGGCUCGAAAGCGUGGGGAGCAAACAGGAUUAGAUACCCUUGUAGUC
rnacentral:rRNA from 1 species